rnacentral:rRNA from 1 species
CAGUCGCCACGGUAAUACGAAGGGUGCAAGCGUUAAUCGGAAUUACUGGGCGUAAAGCGUGCGUAGGCGGUUUGUUAAGUCUGCUGUGAAAUCCCCGGGCUCAACCUGGGAAUGGCAGUGGAUACUGGCAAGCUAGAGUGUGUCAGAGGAUGGUGGAAUUCCCGGUGUAGCGGUGAAAUGCGUAGAGAUCGGGAGGAAUAUCAGUGGCGAAGGCGGCCAUCUGGGACAACACUGACGCUGAGGCACGAAAGCGUGGGGAGCAAACAGGAUUAGAUACCCCUGUAGUCCCUGUCUCUUAUAC